AACGAACGCUGGCGGCGUGCUUAACACAUGCAAGUCGAACGGAAAGGCCCUGCUUUUUUGGGGUUCUCGAGUGGCGAACGGGUGAGUAACACGUGAGUAACCUGCCCUUGACUUUGGGAUAACUUCAGGAAACUGGGGCUAAUACCGGAUAGGAGCUCCUGCUGCAUGGUGGGGGUUGGAUAGUUUCGGCGGUUGGGGAUGGACUCGCGGCUUAUCAGCUUGUUGGUGGGGUAGUGGCUUACCAAGGAUUUGACGGGUAGCCGGCCUGAGAGGGUGACCGGCCACAUUGGGACUGGGAGACGGCCCAGACGACUACGGGGGGCAACAGUGGGGAAUAUUGCACAGUGGGCGGAAGCCUGAUGCAGCAACGCCGCGUGCGGGAAGACGGCCUUCGGGUUGUGAACCGCAUUCGCUUGUGACGAAGCGUGAGUGACGGUAAUGGGUGAAGAAGCACCGGCUAACUACGUG
rnacentral:rRNA from 1 species